GUGGGGAAUCUUGCGCAAUGGGCGAAAGCCUGACGCAGCCAUGCCGCGUGAAUGAUGAAGGUCUUAGGAUUGUAAAAUUCUUUCACCGGGGACGAUAAUGACGGUACCCGGAGAAGAAGCCCCGGCUAACUUCGUGCCAGCAGCCGCGGUAAUACGAAGGGGGCUAGCGUUGCUCGGAAUUACUGGGCGUAAAGGGCGCGUAGGCGGACAGUUUAGUCAGUGGUGAAAGCCCAGGGCUCAACCUUGGAAUUGCCUUUGAUACUGGCUGUCUUGAGUUUGGGAGAGGUGAGAGGAACUCCGAGUGUAGAGGUGAAAUUCGUAGAUAUUCGGAAGAACACCAGUGGCGAAGGCGACUCACUGGCCCAAUACUGACGCUGAGGCGCGAAAGCGUGGGGAGCAAACAGGAUUAGAUACCCCUGUAGUCC
rnacentral:rRNA from 1 species